rnacentral:RNase_P_RNA from 12 species
UGCAUAUAUAUAAUGAAAGAGAGAAAGAAAGAAGAAAGAAGAGAAAGAGAAGAAACCAGAUCAUGAUGGAUGUAUGUAUGGAUUGAUUGAUACACACACUAUACUAUUAAUCAAUACACUUUGUUUGGUCUUUUUUUUUUCAUGUUUUUCCUUCCUUCUCUCUCUAAUUCUCUCCAUAUUUU